rnacentral:sRNA from 1 species
UACCAUCAAUUGGACGCGAAAAGGCGGCUAAGAUGCAAGGAGAAGUAUAAUUGUCAGAGUAAUCGCAGUAUGGAUCACCUGAUGAGAUUUAAAAACGCUUAGGUUCAGCUUCUCGUCUGCGGCUGCCAAGGACCAGAUGGCCCAAGAUCUCUCACAUUCCCAAAAAAUCCUGAUGAAUUCUUCUCUUCGAGGGAAUUUGUGUUGAACGAUGCUGCUGUAAAUUCAUCACAGUCAUAUCUCUACCCAAUCGCGAGAGAGUGGAGGCAUGUUCCCAUUGCUUACCUCAAUCAUAAACGUGCCAAAGCUCAAGUGAUGAUUGAGGAAACUCUUGGUAUCCUCAAAAAUAGUGGCAAAUCCUACAACGCUCUCAUUCUACUUGCCAUACAAGAAACGAAUGAGGCUGCCUGAUCACUUAAGCUUGCAUAAUUCUCCAUAACCUUUUGGUUGAGACAAGGAAGGCCUCGCUGAUUAAGUUUGAGGGGGCCCAAGUGGUGAAUAUUCGUGAAAGGGCCGCUGAAACCGGCGACGAAGCAGCAAAUAGAACAGGAGGGAUGAAGUCCUUGCGUAAAUGACCGGAGAUGAACUUUGAAGACAUCCCGAGUUUGGUACGUUUCAAUCAAAACUUCUACAAAUUUCGUCUAAAAACAGCCUAAAACGCGGGAAAAGCUGUUGGCCAAGCGCUUAUGCGCUUGGAAUGCGAACUGUAAAAGAUGAGAUGUGC